ensembl:lncRNA
GAGGGCAGGUGGCGGGAGGUAGGAACGGCAUAGAGAAGGGAGCAUUUCUAUGUUCUUGUGAGUUGCUCGAUGGGCAGGGAGGAGCGGGGGCGAUGGAGGAGGACUCUGAAGUGUAGAAGGUUCGACCUUAACAAACUGAGGCGGACUCACUUCUCGGGGAAGACAUGCAUGAAACCAGCCCCGCAUGAGGCAAGGGCACAAACCAGAAUGUCAACUCAGUUAUUUUCUACAAGGAGGAGAAGAGCUCUUCUCGGGCCAGGGGUAUCAGUCUGGAAACCUCCAUCGCCCGACCAGGGUCCAUGCAUCCGCGCGUAUCCAUUCAACAAAGAUAUAUUUGAGUCUCCACUGGGAUCUUGGGCAAUUUUGUUUUUCUAGCAGAAGAAACUACGUCUCACUUUCCUAAUCUAUAAACUGGGUUGUUGAGUGAGUUGUUAUGAAGAAUAAAUGAAGUCAUCUUGCAGAAGGAUUAAAGGAGAAAAUCUUGAGUACCAUAGUGUAUGAUGUCUAGUAGGCACGCCAUCAAUUUGUUGAAUGAGUGAAUGCAAAAAAUUACUUAUGAUUAUUGCUACUCUUGCCAUGUGCCAGGCACUUUGCUACUCUUUGGGGAUAUAAUGGUAAACCAGACAUGGGGUCCUCCCCUCCUCGAGCUGAGAGACCAGCAACCCCGGUGCUGUGGAAUAAAUGCAACAAAUUGGGGAAAUACAGGGUAUUAUUGGAGCUCCCAGCUGCAGGACCGGAGUCCUCCGAGGCUCCCCAGAGGAAGUGGGCUUCAAGCUAUGGCAUGAAUGGUGAGUAAGGGCUAGCCAGGCAGAGGCGGAGGACUGAGUGCCCCGUGCAGAGCUCUCAAGGCAAGAAAGAUUUUCUUCCAACAAUGAGACCCUGAAGAAUCUGGGGGUGGACUUCGCCAGGGGCCUUGGGCCUGACAAGAAGCUGAGGAGGUAAGCAAGAGUUGGAUUUUGGAGGGCUGAGUAACCCACAUAAGGGGGCUGGAUUUUAUCCCAAGAGCCAUGGGGUGUUUGGGAGACAGAGGUCCACAAGCUCGAUAAAAAUUAGAGCAGGGAGGAAAGGCUACAGGAGGGCUGUGGAUGACUCAGGGCUUUCAAGCUUGGCUUCCAUAUGGAGCAGUGGUCAACAGAACAUGGCGCCAGACUGCCUGGGAUUGAAUGCUGGCUCUAUCCUUCAAGGCUGUGUGCUUAAGAAAGUUACUUAGUCUUCUGAUUUGUAAACUGAGAUAAUCACAGGACUCAACUCAUAGGUUUGUGUGAGAGAAGGUGGGUUAAAUGAGGUAUACGUCCAGAGCAAAAUACUUAGAGCAUUACCCCGCAGAAAGUAAGGGCUCCAUAAGUGCUGAGUAUUAUCCUGGCUCCCACAACUCACACACCAAGGAGUCACGGAUCCUGCAAAGCCAGCUCUCUAAAGUAUCUGAGGAAUGUAGGGGGAGGGGGAUGCUCGCAAACUGCCAGAAGAUGGAAACUCCAGGAGCUUGGCGCUCCUCCUCCUGGUUUAGUCAUGGUUCUUACCAACUUGGUUACUUGGUUUCAGUAGCUGAUUAGAAAAGGAGGAGCUGCCGGGAGCAGGUCCCCUAGGAAAGGCAGAAGCAACUCCUGGCAGCUCAAGGAAAGUCGAAGUACUAGGAGAAAUAGAUGCAAGAACCACGGAAGUAUAGCAAACUGGCUGACUGUGGUCAUUUAGGGCAGAGGGUGAGAGUCCCAUGCACCCGAAGCACACUAAAGGCUUCACCGUUUUCUAGUACAACUAUUGAGAGCAAAAAGGCUCUUUCAGAAUGCGGCUUGCCUAUAAAGGCAGGAGGAUGUUUUUUGAACUUUGGAAAUAAUGUUAUGUUGAAUAGAACAUAGUAGAUGUCCAAGAGAUCCAAUGUAGACAGCACAGCAUGCCGUAUCUCUGUUCCACACCUCAGCUUCAACCUGCCUGGCUGUCCAGGUCUUGCACCUGUUCCCACUUUCUCUUUUGGGGUUGCUUCUUAGAUGUUUGAAAUUUUCUUGGCAGGUUUUCAGUAGCAAUCUGUUCCUUGUCACUUUCUUCCUGUAUCCCACCAGUGUAUUGUCAGUCUUCGGUCAUUUACUUCAAGAUGUACUGAGAUAUACAUUGCUCAUAAUUAUGCUCUAUGGUUAAGGCACAGCAAAGCUUAAAGGAUUUAGCAAGAAAAAAAAUACUUGGCAAUUUAUUUGUAUAAAGGUCGAUGUUUUCUAGUAGGAUUUUUUUUCCCCUCCAGGUGGGUGGGGUGUGGGAUAAGCAGAAGAAACAGAAGACCUGGCUUCCUUCUGGGUGAAAACUCAAAGUUGAAACCAUGGCAAGAAGCCCUUCCUUUCUGCUGCUGGGUGGAAAAGGUGUGCUUUCUGAGCUUCCACCGCCUUUUGGCUUCCUGUCUCUGGAAAAGACCCAUAAGAGGAAUGCCACGGGUCACAAGAGUUAUUUAGCUGAAUAAAUACACAUGAGUGAUUAGGGAAGAAUUACAAAGUCUUCUCUAAGUAACCGAGUCAAAACUAACAAUACUCAGUUGUCAGAACAUCAAA